rnacentral:snRNA from 1 species
AUUGCUUCUCGGCCUUUUGGCCAAGAUCAAGUGUAGUAUCUGUUUAAAAUAUACUUCAGUCCUUUUGUCUGCUAGUAUCUACCUGUU